GAUGAAGAACGUAGCGAAAUGCGAUAAGUAGUGUGAAUUGCAGAAUUCAGUGAAUCAUCGAAUCUUUGAACGCACAUUGCGCCCGCCAGUAUUCUGGCGGGCAUGCCUGUUCGAGCGUCAUUUCAACCAUCAAGCCCCCGGGCUUGUGUUGGGGACCUGCGGCUGCCGCAGGCCCUGAAAAGCAGUGGCGGGCUCGCUGUCACACCGAGCGUAGUAGAUUUUAUCUCGCUCAGGGCGUGCUGCGGGUUCCGGCCGUUAAACCACCUUCAUAACCCAAGGUUGACCUCGGAUCAGGUAGGAAGACCCGCUGAACUUAAGCAUAUCAAUAAGCGGAGGA
rnacentral:misc_RNA from 1 species